rnacentral:rRNA from 1 species
UACGGAAGAUGCGAGCGUUAAUCGGAUUUACUGGGCGUAAAGCGUGCGUAGGUGGCCAAUUAAGUCAAAUGUGAAAUCCCUGAGCUUAACUUAGGAAUUGCAUUCGAUACUGGUUGGCUAGAGUAUGGGAGAGGAUGGUAGAAUUCCAGGUGUAGCGGUGAAAUGCGUAGAGAUCUGGAGGAAUACCGAUGGCGAAGGCAGCCAUCUGGCCUAAUACUGACACUGAGGUGCGAAAGCAUGGGGAGCAAACAGG